rnacentral:lncRNA from 1 species
CUCCAAGAUAUCUGAAGGGAAGAUGCCCUUCAGUGAAUCCUAGAGCAGCAAUAAUCUCCUCUAUAGUUUCCUGUGGAACUCCAGCCAAAUAGAUUGCACUCUUACUUACAUUAGCCUGAAGUCCAGAAGCAGUUGAGAAUAUAAGAAAUGUGAUGUGCAAUAUCUGAAUAGAUACUAUGUCAGCCCUACAGAACAUUAACAAGUCAUCAGC